rnacentral:rRNA from 1 species
AACGAACGCUGGCGGCAUGCCUAACACAUGCAAGUCGAACGAGACCUUCGGGUCUAGUGGCGCACGGGUGCGUAACGCGUGGGAACCUGCCCUUAGGUUCGGAAUAACUCCCCGAAAGGGGUGCUAAUACCGGAUAAUGUCUUCGGACCAAAGAUUUAUCGCCUUUGGAUGGGCCCGCGUUGGAUUAGCUAGUUGGUAGGGUAAAAGCCUACCAAGGCAGCGAUCCAUAGCUGGUCUGAGAGGAUGAUCAGCCACACUGGGACUGAGACACGGCCCAGACUCCUACGGGAGGCAGCAGUGGGGAAUAUUGGACAAUGGGCGAAAGCCUGAUCCAGCAAUGCCGCGUGAGUGAUGAAGGCCUUAGGGUUGUAAAGCUCUUUUACCCGGGAUGAUAAUGACAGUACCGGGAGAAUAAGCUCCGGCUAACUCCGUG